CUGGUUGAUCCUGGCAGAGGCUACUGCUAUCGAGGUUCGACUAAGCCAUGCGAGUCGAAUGUAGCAAUACAUGGCGAACUGCUCAGUAACACGUGGACAACCUGCCCUUAGGACGGGGAUAAACCCGGGAAACUGGGUAUAAUACCCGAUAGGUCUCGAUUGCUGGAAUGCAUCGAGAUUUAAAGCUCCGGCGCCUAAGGAUGGGUCUGCGGCCUAUCAGGUAGUAGUGGGUGUAGCGUACCUACUAGCCUACGACGGGUACGGGUUGUGAGAGCAAGAGCCCGGAGAUGGAUUCUGAGACACGAAUCCAGGCCCUACGGGGUGCAGCAGGCGCGAAAACUUUACAAUGCUGGCAACAGCGAUAAGGGAACCUCGAGUGCCAGGUUACAAAUCUGGCUGUCGAGAUGCCUAAAAAGCAUUUCAUAGCAAGGGCCGGGCAAGACCGGUGCCAGCCGCCGCGGUAACACCGGCGGCUCGAGUGGUAACCGUUAUUAUUGGGU
rnacentral:rRNA from 1 species